rnacentral:lncRNA from 1 species
UGAAAUUAAUUUUUCUUUAGUUGGGCUUUGUUGUGCAAAAGGGCUUUGAUGAUAUCAUCAAUCCAACCCCUUUAAUCUCCACCGGAAACGCAAGCCAUCACCGUCGUCGAUGGCUGCUGCUCGCCGGAGAGAAGCUUCAAUGAAAAACACAACUUCUCUGUAAAAGCAAAGCCACGUCCUCAAUCUUCUGCUCCCUCUAUCGCCAUCUCCGUCGUCGCUGGAUAGACGCUCCAAUAUCAUGAUUCCUCGCCUGAAAUCGACAUCAUCUUCAAUCACGAUCUUCUCUUCUUUGGUUGUCGAAGAGCAGCGACAAAGAAAACGUCGAACAAUUUGGAGUCAAAGAUGGAUCAAACAACUCAUGAAAUUCGAAGAGAUAAAAGAGGUAAACGAAGUAGAAAUUGAAAAAUAGAAUCAUCGUAAGCAAAUUGGGCAUGAAAUCGAAGAAUAGAAUCUAUAACUCUCUCUCUCUCUCUCUCUCUCUCUCUCUCUCUUUGUUUCUCUGGGUUUGUGAAUUGUGAUGAUAUUUAAAACGUUUGUGAUGUAUAUAUAGAUUUUCUUGUAAUCAAAGUUUCCAUUUUUUUUGGAAUUCAAAGUUUCCUUUUUUUUACUCUUUUCAAAAUUUCCUUUUUUUUUUGUGAGUCUUUUGUGUUGAUUUUUCUCUUAACUGUUUUGUGUUUGUUUCCUUUUUUCUUAAUAGGUUCAGGAUACGAUUUGUGAUGUAAAUCGUAAGAUUCUGCGAGCUUGUGUAGAUUUUUGGAAACAAAGUUUGAGCAUUUUCAUGACAACAAGUCUCUUUCUCUGUCUUUGCGUUGCUUGCUUUGUUAUCAUCUUCUAAAUCUGCAGGAAAGUCUCUUCAUGAUUUUGAUAGAUAAAUCUUACAUAGCCGAGAUUCUCGAGCCAAGAAGAAGAAGAAGAAGAAGAUACUUGUGUUCAGGAUUUGGUUGAGAUGGAAUCAACCAAUGCACAGGCUCAUGAGGCUGCACAAGCUUCUUCUUUAUAGAUAUCUGAUUUGUUAGAAGAGCUAAAUCAGCUUUAAAGUUUAAAGAUAUCUGAUGAUUUGGCAUUGGUUUUGAAAGAGGUGGCUAUGGAUUGUAGUUAAAUGGAAGAGAGGCUUGUUGUCGCGGAAACAGAGCUCGAGGCUCCAAGGUUCUCAGCAAUGGAAGGAGAAACACGAGGAAGCGCAGACUCAUAUCUCACA